rnacentral:rRNA from 1 species
AUUGAACGCUGGCAGAAUGCUUUACACAUGCAAGUCGAACGGCAGCACGGGGCAACCUGGUGGCGAGUGGCGAACGGGUGAGUAAUACAUCGGAACGUGCCCAAUCGUGGGGGAUAACGUAGCGAAAGUUACGCUAAUAACGCAUACGAUCUACGGAUGAAAGCGGGGGAUCGCAAGACCUCGCGCGAAUGGAGCGGCCGAUUUCAGGUUAGGUAGUUUGUGGGGUAAAGGCUCACCAAGCCAACGCUGUGUAGCUGGUCGGAGAGGACGACCAGGCACACUGGGACUGAGACACGGCCCGGACUCCUACGGGAGGCAGCAGUGGGGAAUUUUGGACAAUGGGCGCAAGCCUGAUCCAGCCAUUCCGCGUGCAGGAUGAAGGCAUUCGGGUUGUAAACUGCUUUUGUACGGAACGAAACGGUUCUCUCUAAUACAGGGGGCUAAUGACGGUACCGUAAGAAUAAGCACCGGCUAACUACGUGCCAGCCGCCGCCGUAACAC